ACUCCUACGGGAGGCAGCAGUGGGAAUGAUUGCACAAUGGGAACCGGACUGAUGCAGCCAUGCCGCGUGUGUGAAGAAGGCCUUCGGGUUGUAAAGCACUUUCAGUAGGGAGGAAGGUAGUGUAGUUAACACCUGCAUUAUUUGACGUUACCUACAGAAGAAGCACCGGCUAACUCCGUGCCAGCAGCCGCGGUAAUACGGAGGGUGCGAGCGUUAAUCGGAAUUACUGGGCGUAAAGCGCAUGCAGGCGGCCUGUUAAGUCAGAUGUGAAAGCC
rnacentral:rRNA from 1 species